GUGGGAGGAGGCGGCGUUUCCGGCCGCGGUCGCUGUCCUGGGAGGCUGAGGCGAGAGGGAGCUGUCCGGGUGGGGAGCCCGCGCUACCUUCUUCCUUUUCCUCCUCCUCCUCCUCCGGGUGAGGGGAGCGAAGGUUGGGGCCCCGACCCCAUGGACCGGGAGGAGGCGGAGGCUGCCGAGAGCCGGGGCCCCGCUGUGUGGCCCUGAGCCCCGUGAACUGGUUCCGCCUGUCUGGAAGGCCAUGGAGAAGAGGCUGGGAGUCAAGCCAAGCCCUGUUUCCUGGAUUUUAUUGGGAUUUUGUUGGCAGAUAUCCGUGAAAUGGUUGAGAAGCCUGUACCUGUUUUAUACUUGCUUCUGCUUCAGUGCUCUGUGGUUGUCAACAGAUGCCAGUGAGAGCAGGUGCCAGCAGGCGAAGACAGAAUUUGGAGUUGGCCUGAGAUCUGGGGGAGAAAAUCACCUCCGGCUUCUUGAAGGAACCCCCUCUCUCCAGUUGUGUUGGGCUGCCUGCUGCCAGGACCCUGCGUGCCAUGCCUUUUGGUGGUUAGAAGGGAUGUGCAUUCAGACAGAUUGCAGCAGGCCCCAGAGCUGCCGCACUUUUAGGACAGACUCUUCCAAUUCCAUGCUGGUAUUUUUUAAAAAAUUCCAAACUACAGAUGAUUUGGGCUUUCCACCUGAAGAUGAUGUACCAUAUAUUCUGGGUCUAGGUUGGAGCAGGACAUCUUGGAGGAGACAGAGUCCACCCAGAGCUCCACUCAGACCCACUGUAUCUUCCAGGGACCAUCAGAGCUUAACCAGGAAGCUUUGGAAGAGAGAUAGUCCCAGCGAAGAAGUAACUACACAUAUGGUGACACAGCAUUCUGAAAU